AACGAACGCUGGCGGCGUGCCUAACACAUGCAAGUCGAGCGCGAAUUGGAGCAAUCCAUAGUAGAGCGGCGCACGGGUGCGUAACACGUGGGUAAUCUGCCUGGAAGCCCGGAACAACCUGCCGAAAGGCUGGCUAAUACCGGAUAAGCCUACGGACUCUUCGGAGUUUGAAGGAAAAGGUGGCCUCUGUAUACAAGCUAUCGCUUCCAGAUGAGCCCGCGGCCCAUCAGCUAGUUGGCGGGGUAAUGGCCCACCAAGGCUACGACGGGUAGCUGGU
rnacentral:rRNA from 1 species